rnacentral:rRNA from 1 species
CCUACGGGUGGCAGCAGUGAGGAAUAUUGGACAAUGGGGGAAACCCUGAACCAGCAACGCCGCGUGAAGGAAGACGGUUUUCGGAUUGUAAACCUCUGUCCUCUGUGAAGAGAGUGACGGUAUCAGAGGAGUAGGCUCCGGCUAACUACGUGCCAGCAGCCGCGGUAAGACGUAGGGCUGAAGCGUUGUGCGGAUUUACUGGGUGUAAAGGGUGCGUAGGCGGCUUUGCAAGUCAGAUGUGAAAUCCAUGGGCUUAACCCGUGAAGUGCAUUUGAUACUGCAGAGCUUGAGUGGAGUAGAGGUAGGUGGAAUUCCCGGUGUAGCGGUGAAAUGCGUAGAGAUCUGGAGGAACACCAGUGGCGAAGGCGGCCUGCUGGGCUCUAACUGACGCUGAUGUACGAAAGCGUGGGUAGCAAACAGGAUUAGAUACCCUAGUAGUC